CAUUAAAGGAGUCAUAUCAUGCUUUUCAUUCUAAAAAAUAUUAGACUUUAAUGUCUCAGUAAGGUCUCUGUAAAUUUUCAUCCCAUAAAACCCUUUAGAUCGUCCACACUGCCCCUGUCAAUGUGUGGUUUUCACUCUCCAUCAGCAAACGCUGUGUUUUCUGGGCGUGUCGCAAGCGAAGCUGCUCGCCACACCUCUGUGCGGAAGCGCAUACCUUUUUUGUUGUUGUUUUUUUUUUAAAUUGGCUCCAUGGAUACGAGCCACCGCACGGUUAGGAUACAAUAGGUGGCAGUAGUGCGACAUUGAGAAUGCAAUCCACCGCAAUCCUCCACAGAAGAAGAAGACCCACUACAGGACUGCACGACUUUAGUCAGCUGGUCCGGUAGCAUAGUAGAACCAUACGUCUACGAUCCCGAAUCUGACCCUGAAGCUGAAGAGGAGGCUGUUGAAGUCGCCACAUUUCGGCUGAUGCAAGAUGUGUCUCAUUGUUGUUACAGGUAUCUAGUCUACAGAGGCUAGUGAGCUGGUGCUGAGGAUUCCUGGGGUGAAGAAUCUGAGUUGCCAUCUCUUCAUGCUUGGGUUGUAGAUGAAGGCAGUUUCCUGAUGGAUAAAACACUAAAACACUCAUAGUAUGAUUGAUGUAGACCACCUGUAGAAUAACUCCUUUACCGUUUGAGUAAAAAUGUGUUUUUUGUGAGUGCAACACUCAUUAAGAAUUUUUUUAACUUUAUUUAUAUAUAAUUUAUAUGCGUUUUAUUUAUGGCCGCUUCAACUUUAUAGCUUACCAUAUUAGAAAGAGAAAAACAUGUAAUUUCAAUACUAUGAUUUCCUAAAUAAAAGUGUUUUCCCUUCAGAAA